GGCAUAUGACUGGAUACUUGGGAAUCUUCUCUUCCUUCAAGCAAUUGCACUUCUCAUCUCUCUUUGAUGCUUCUAAGUAUCUCUCUCUCUCUCUCUCUCUCUCUCUCUCUCUCUCUUUUUCUCUUUAUCUCUAUCUGAUGAAAAUUCAGCUCCAAAUCAUACAAGAAAAUCUCAGAAGUGGUGUGUGCUUGGUGAUAAGUAUCAAUAUCCAUUAGAUUGACAUCGGAAUGUUAAAAAGAACAAUUCCCCCAGCUCAAAGUGAUCUUUGACGGUUUUUAAGCACUGGUCAUCUGAAGGAUCAUUCAUGUCUUACUAACAUUAUAAGAACCUCACUCAAACAUAAAGAUGAACUAGUAAGCCGCAUACCACAUCAAAAUAUGGUGUGAUAAAGAGAAGAGAGUGGUGGCUUUACCGUUUUCUACAACUAGCCAUUGGUCUACGAUGAGCUCUUUACGUGAACUACUGAGGAAGGACCACCCUUUCCAUAUGGAUUCUACCGUUGGACUUCUUCCAUAGGUUCACAGUCACCAAUAGCCUACUAUCUUUGAUGGUGAUCAAAAUUUGUUUCCUUAUGAACAUUAUAUAAAUGUGGCAGUUACAUUGACAUGUAUAUCUCAAGAAAGAACAGCUGUAUGAUAAUGAUGAAAAGAUAGAACUCUCAUAGUGUUGAUACCAUUAUCCUCUCUUUGUAACCAAAAAAAGAAAAACAUGAACGGAAGCAUGGACAAUCUUAAGGUAGAUCAAAUCUUGUUCUAAAUUUGUUAGACAAAAUUCUUCAAGCAAAAGAAUGAAACAAAAGCUACUUCCAGGUCAGUGUGAGAGCCUGUUGAACACGGUUCCAGAUAAAGUUGACAAAGUCCAUAAUUUCAGCAGUAAGCAAUAUAAUUAUGCUCAAGGAAAAGACUGCCAAGUUAUGAACUAAUA